rnacentral:rRNA from 1 species
UACGGGGGGGGCAAGCGUUGUUCGGAAUUACUGGGCGUAAAGGGCGCGUAGGCGGCCCUGCAAGUCAGUUGUGAAAUCUCCGGGCUUAACCCGGAAAGGUCAACUGAUACUGCAGGGCUAGAGUGCAGAAGGGGCAACUGGAAUUCUCGGUGUAGCGGUGGAAUGCGUAGAUAUCGCUUGGAACGCCGAAGGUGAAAACAGGCUGCUGGGGUUGCGCCGACGCUGAGACACGAAAGCCAGGGGAGCAAACGGG